ACAUUGAAACACAGGUUCCCAUAGAAUCACUGAAGUUAAGCAACUUCAAGCCUGGUCAGUACCUAAAUGGGUGACCACUUGGGAAUACCAGGUGC